GCCAGAUGUGGUGACACUUGGGAGGCUGAGACAGGAGGAUCGCUUGAGACCAGGAGUUCUGGGCUGUAGUGUGCUAUGCCAAUCAGGUGUCUGCACUAAGUUCGGCGUCAAUAUGGUGACCUCCUGGGAGCAGGGGGCCACCAGAUUGCUUAAGGAGGGGUGAACUGGCCCAGGUCAGAAAUGAAGCAGGUCAAAGCUCCCAUGCUGAUCAGUAGUAGGAUCGUGCCUGUGAAUAACCACUGCACUCCAGCCUGGGCAACAUAGAGAUAUCCGGUCUCUU
rfam:Otolemur garnettii contig057751, whole genome shotgun sequence.